rnacentral:rRNA from 1 species
AGAGUUUGAUUAUGGCUCAGGAUGAACGCUGGCGGCGUGCUUAACACAUGCAAGUCGAACGGAGUUUUAACGGAAGUUUCGGAUGGAAGUUAAGAACUAGUGGCGGACGGGUCGAGUAACGCGUGGGUAACCUGCCUCAGUACAGGGGGAUAACAGUUACGAAAUGACUGCUAACACCGCAUAAUAUAGUGAAACCGCAUGAUUUUUGCUAUCAAAUAUUUAUAGGUAGUGAGAUGGGCCCGCGUCUGAUUAGCUAGUUGGUGGGGUAAAAGCCUACCAAGGCGACGAUCAGUAGCCGGCUUGAGAGAGUGACCGGCCACAUUGGGACUGAGACACGGCCCAAACUCCUACGGGAGGCAGCAGUGGGGAAUAUUGGACAAUGGGGGAAACCCUGAUCCAGCCGACGCCGCGUGAGUGAAGAAGUAUUUCGGUAUGUAAAGCUCUAUCAGCAGGGAAGAUAAUGACAGUACCUGACUAAGAAGCCCCGGCUAACUACGUGCCAGCCGCGGC